rnacentral:rRNA from 1 species
UACGAAGGGGGCUAGCGUUGUUCGGAAUCACUGGGCGUAAAGCGCACGCAGGCGGAUCGUUAAGUCAGGGGUGAAAUGCCGAGGCUCAACCUCGGAACUGCCUUUGAUACUGGCGAUCUUAGAGUCCGGGAGAGGUGAGUGGAACUCCGAGUGUAGAGGUGAAAUUCGUAGAUAUUCGGAAGAACACCAGUGGCGAAGGCGGCUCACUGGCCCGGUACUGACGCUCAGGUGCGAAAGCGUGGGGAGCAAACAGG